GACUAUCUCAAAUAUAUAAGUAAGGUAAAACAUGUGGAUAGAGGCUAUUUAUAGCAAUAGCUACACUGAUUAUUUAUGUUAUGCUUGAUGAUUAACCUAGUAUUUCCAUAAUAAUAGUAAAACCACAUCUUAAAGUGACUGCCUCACACUGUGCCUCUGUUUCUAUCGCAAAAUUAUGACCACACUCAUUGCAAAAAGGUUAGAAAAAUACAUUUAACGCUUAGGAUUCUUUAAAAUAGAAGUAAAAUGGCAAGUCGAACCUUUACAAACUCAGGGAUUGCCAGAUAUAUUUAAAUUAUUUUGAGAAAAGAUCAUAUAAAGGCACUUCCCCCCAGGUCCUCUAAGCAGUAUAUAUAAUUUUUCUGUUAACUUACAAUAUCUACAACAACUCAAGGUCAAUUUGUUUUCAAUUUCACCACAACAAUCGUACUGGCAAACACUUUGGAGUCGAUUCUUGUAAGU